rnacentral:rRNA from 1 species
CCUACGGGGGGCUGCAGUGGGGAAUAUUGGACAAUGGGCGCAAGCCUGAUCCAGCAAUGCCGCGUGUGUGAAGAAGGCCUGCGGGUUGUAAAGCACUUUAAGCAGGAAAGAAGGGGUGGGAGUUAAUACCUUUCAUCAUUGACGUUACCUGCAGAAUAAGCACCGGCUAACUCCGUGCCAGCAGCCGCGGUAAUACGGAGGGUGAAAGCGGGGAUCAGAAUGACUGGGGGUAAAGCGCGCAGUCGCGGGUGAAAGCCCCGGGCUUAACCUGGGAACUGCGGUGGAUACUGUCGGGCUAGAGUGUGGUAGAGGGGAGUGGAAUUUCCGGUGUAGCAGUGAAAUGCGUAGAGAUCGGAAGGAACACCAGUGGCGAAGGCGGCUCCCUGGACUAACACUGACGCUGAGGUGCGAAAGCGUGGGGAGCAAACAGGAUUAGAUACCCCUGUAGUC